rnacentral:rRNA from 1 species
GACUGGACGCAGCUGAUGCAGCAUGCCGCGUGAGUGAUGAGGCCUUCGGGUUGUAAGCUCUGUCGGCCGGGACGAUGAUGUCCGUGCUAAUACCCGAGGCGCCUGACGGUACCGUGCGAGCAAGCACCGGAUACUACGUGCCAGCAGCCGCGGUAAUGCUAG